CACUUGAUACAUUAAACGGACUAGCUAUUCUAGGAACUUUAUUAAACAAACAUAAUAAAGAAAAAGCCUUUUAUUAUUAAUAAAUAAUUCGAUACAAUGAUUAAGUCACACUUGAUACAUUAAACGGACUAGCUAUUCUAGGAACUUUAUUAAACAAACAUAAUAAAGAAAAAGCCUUUUAUUAUUAAUAAAUAAUUCGAUACAAGUACCAAAAGUAUUGGCCUUUAGGGCUUACACCAACACUUAUAAGUCUGUUC
rnacentral:lncRNA from 1 species